GAAAGGAGCAUUUCCCAUGCUAUGUGUGUGUCAGUGACGCAUGGAGAGAGGAAAUGCAGCAGUUGCCAGAAGCAGCGCUGAUGUUACUUUAUGUUGUUAUCUGAUGAGAAAACUAAUGAAGCAAAAAUGCUUUGAGCAUGCAAUAAGCCAGCCCCUCUGCUGAGGGAUUACAGCUAAGGACUCUCAAGACCUCAUGUGCACCCAUGACUGUAACCCGUGAGUAAGAGCAUGAAGCAUGCACACAAGCGGCGCGUGCAGAAAUUACAGCAGAGCCUGGCGGUACAAAGCAGGCACGGAGGAGAGAUGAGGCUUUUCAGCUCUACUGCAAAAGGUCCCACUCAGUGGCACUAAAAGCAAGCACAAGGGCCAAAUGCUGAAUUUCCAACCCCACGGUGUAUUUCUGGGAAAGCCAGAGGCAGAGGCAGAGGUAGGAGAAGGUAUGUUCAUUAAGUGCCACCACCUGGAGUUAAAGGAACAAGCGCGCUUCUGCUCUUUCACCCUGUCACGAGAAGCUCACUGAGAUGAAGGAAGCGGUUAAGGGUGGAUCGUGAGAAACCAACCUGAGAGCGGAGGGUCAGCCCCUAUGGCACCUGAGCUGUGCGUAUGCCUGGUGCCAGAGCGAACAGCCCCUACGCGUUUGCUCCGAGCCGCAUCCUGUUGUACCUUGCUUUCAGCAGUUUGGCUAAGAAGCUUGCCGCUUUCCUGAAUGAGAUGAGGGGGUGACAGCUGAAGCCAUGGGUCUGCUUCCUCUACUGAGAAAUAUAUCCACAAAUGUUUCACUACUUUAAUACACCUGAAAGGGAGAGCUAAAAAUACAGUGCACUGCAAGCCAAGGAGGCGUGUAGGCGCUCUCUCUUUAAGACUUGAUUUCCUAAGUGAACUGUCAACUCCCGGUGGCUAGAAAAAUCUGCAAACAAUUUCUAGUCACUGAACAAAGCAAAUCUUUGUACUGUGCUGUAAUAGUUCAUUACUAAAUAAAGGCUUCUUUGUUAUGCUAUAAGAAAUAGUG
rnacentral:lncRNA from 1 species